AUGAUUGUACCUCCUGUUUAUUUAGAUAAAGAAGCUAUGUUUGAUCAUCAUUUUCUUGAGAGGAAUGAACAAUUCCUCCAUUAUCGACUAAUAUUUGACAGACGCAACGUCGUCCCUGUUACUCUUCCUGCUCCCUACCUUUUUGAUUAUCAGGCAAAAGGAAGAUAUAUUAUCACCAGGGAAGAAGCAGCUGAUUACGACAGGGGAAUGGAGGCAGCUCGUCAACACGCUGCAGCUCAGGAGGCGGUCGCCUGUGCAUCUCAGUACUACCCCAGUUUCACUUAUGGAUAUCAGUCAGGCGGUCCUUGGUAUUAA
rnacentral:rRNA from 1 species